CUGCCUUCUGGAUGACAAGUGCGUCUGGAGUAAGAGCGUCAGGGGGCGGAGGAGCCCUGGGACUGAAAUAAAGACUCUUUGUUCCACGCACGCAUGUGGAGGCGCAGCUUGACAAGCCGAAGACAGAGCGUGAGAAGGUUGAUUUCUGACCUUGGUUGGGAUAUGACCCCACAAGCUUGAUGUUCAUUGUAACUGGACCGACUACAGCAUUUGGAAUCUGCAAUUAAACUGCUUCAGAUUUGAUGCGGUGACAGCACAAAUCACUCUAAAACAGCAUGUUCAAAGUGAGAUUUGAACCGCAAAUUAGAAAUUAGAGACUCAACACUUUAAAGGAAAACUUUUUUUUUCUGUACCUGCCUCAGCAACCGUAGAGGGGGCGGAGCUAAAUGACAGAGUGAAGCCUACAGACAGUCGAGAAGAAGGAGAGAGAGGAAUGGAUGGGCGGCGCACGGGCCCAGGGUGGAGUGAGUGGAGGUGUGUCUAAACAACCUGAACAACAGUCAGAAUGACAGAUGGCGCCUCUAAACUUAGCAUCAAUCCCACCUGAUGGCUCAGCAGUGACGGAUGACGCCUGCCAGUGGAUUGGCUUCACCAGUCGCAACAACCAGCUGAAUCAGGCGGAGUAAAAAAAAAACAAAACAGUGGAGCUGAAACACCUUUUUGCAUCAUCAAAC